rnacentral:rRNA from 1 species
GAUGAACGCUAGCGGCAGGCCUAAUACAUGCAAGUCGAACGGGAUCCAGAUCAAAGCUUGCUUUGGUUUGGUGAGAGUGGCGCACGGGUGCGUAACGCGUGAGCAACCUACCCUUGUCAGGGGGAUAGCCCGGCGAAAGUCGGAUUAAUACCGCAUGACAUCAUUGAGAGGCAUCUUUCGAUGAUCAAAGAUUUAUCGGACAAGGAUGGGCUCGCGUGACAUUAGCUAGUUGGUAAGGUAACGGCUUACCAAGGCUACGAUGUCCAGGGGCUCUGCGAGGAGCCUCCCCGACAGUGGUACCGGGCCCCCGACCAGACUCCUACGGCCGGCAGCCGUACGGGAUACUGGACAAGGGACGGUAGUCUGAUCCAGCCAAGCCGCGUGCAGCAAGGCGGCGCGAUGGGUUGUAACCUGCUUUUAGACGGGAACAUUCGUCGGUACGGGUACCGGUGUGAGUGUACCGGAAGAAUAAGGAUCGGCUAACUCCGUG